CCGCCAUAGCAAACUCCGAAUACCGGCAAGUGCGAUCUACCCCGCCAUAGCAAACUCCGAAUACCGGCAAGUGCGAGCGUGGGAGACAGACAUCGGGUGCUAACGUCCGGUGUCAAGAGGGAAACAACCCAGACCGCCAGCUAAGGUCCCCAAGCCAUGGUUAAGUGGAAAACGAGGUGGGAAGGCAUAGACAGUCAGGAGGUUGGCUUAGAAGCAGCCACCCUUUAAAGAAAGCGUAAUAGCUCACUGAUCGAGUCGUCCUGCGCGGAAGAUGUAACGGGGCUCAAACCAUGCACCGAAGCUGCGGAUAUCCGUAAGGAUAUGGUAGGAGAGCGUUCUCUAGGCCUGCGAAGGUGGGGUGUAAACCCUGCUGGAGGUAUGAGAAGUGCGAAUGCUGACAUGAGUAGCGAUAAAGCGGGUGAAAGGCCCGCUCGCCGAAAGCCC
rnacentral:rRNA from 1 species